GGUUCCCUCUGAAGUUUCCCUCAGGAUAGCUCUUGCACGACCACCCACACAGUUUUAUCCAGUAAAGCGAAUGAUUAGAGAUCUUGGGGCUGAAACUAUCUCA
rnacentral:miRNA from 1 species